UUAUACCAAUACAUUUUAGUUUAUGCAUAGAUCAGGGUUCAAAUACAAAAUGAUUUAAUCUACAAAAUAGGUUGCUUUAAAAAAUGUGGAAGAGCCAGAGGAAUAGGCUCUAGGCAGGGGUUCCAAGAUUAAAUUUGAAAACAUCUCUGCAGAACUGACCCACACAAAAAAAGCUGCUGUCCCUGCAAUAAGGAAGACAAGGGAUGACUAGUAAGUCGAGGAAGCCAUUACUUCAACAAUGGACUCUAGCCCACACUCCUUCUGCUUCCAUUUGAGGACCAGGAAGCUGAUGACAAAACAACUGGCUCUAGAACCAUACCAUCACAGCCACAGACCUUGCCAAUAAAAGGGAUAUCCUACCAAAUUCUCAACACCCACAAAAUUAUGCACUGCAUACUUAAAUCCGUGUUUCUGCUGUUGCUGAGAAGACAAAUGCUCACAUGUUUUGCCCACUAGCAAAAGUCUCCCAUCUCACUUUUUCCUGCCAGUUCUUUCAGGGGCACAUCCACCAAGUAUUCGCAGAAUCUAAGCUAUAAAGCACUUCUGCAAUAAGGCAAAACACAAGGGGAUUAGAAAAGAGUUGAAUGAGUCAAUAUCUACCAUAUGCUGCAUUCUGCAUAUUAUCUACAACCAAGAAACCAGCUGUCAUGUAAAAGAUCCAGAUCAACAUGUAUGAGACUACUAUGCUGUAAAUACCUGGUCACAGGGAAAGGCCACAUGGACCAUAUAUGUAAAUUAAUGCUAGUGAGUGAUCAUAGUUGAUUCCACAUCAAGCAAACAUCAGCUGAAACUAUUGUCUCACAGAAUCAACAAUAAAUUGUGUUUUUUAAGUCA